CAUAGACCUAAUAUCAAAUGGACAGGCCCUUAGAGAGAAAUUCUGGCAUGCCGCAUAUGAAAGAGAGAGAUGGAGCUAGAUGAGUCAACGUCAAAAUCAUAUGAUCAAAACAUUGAACUCACAUUCAGAAAAUCGCUAAUUUUUCUCUCAUUCUGAAUUGAACACAUAGUUAAUCUGAUUGAUUCGAUUUGUAAAAGUGUUGAACAUUCUAAUAAAAGGAAUUAGCGAAUCCAUCUGCUAUUGCGAAAUUCAAAGCACCAAAAGAACUAAUUUUCAAAUAAAAUGCCUCACACUCGUGCAGCCUUCAAUUGUACAGCGAGAUUAGAAAAAAGCCAAAAGUUGAAAUUUCAUUCUUCACAGUUUUCCAAAGGAUGACAAAUUAAGGGAACAGUGGAUGAAUUGAAAAGAAGAAGAAUUGAUUUCAACCCUUUUUCCUUGUUGAAAAUAUGCAGCAACCGUUUUCAUCAACAUGAUUUAUUAAUAUUCAUGGUACACAAACUCUGAAAAAAGAUGUUAUUCCUUCAGUUUUCAGUUUCUCCAAUUAUAUGCCUGGGAGAUUAAAUUAUGGAGAUAAAUGUCUAGAAGAUAAUAUAGAAGGUACAUUAAUAUUUUAUUUUUUAAGGAUGUGAAAUAUCUAUUUAUUUUCCGUCCCUUAUUUUAUUCAUUCGUAUAAAUAAUUAUUGCAAAAGAAAUUGAACAGGACCAGCCAGAGACAAAACAGCAAGACAUGGGGCAACCAGAGACGUUACAACUGUUUAUAAUAUCAAAAUCCUCUGCUGCUGCCAUGG